UAUUCUAGUAACAUGGGGAUUAUUCAAAUGGGCUUUCUACCCAUUUGGAAAAAUGGAUGGUCCUGAAGGAAACAACUUUGGGGAGGAGGGCCCUGGAGCACCAUUAGCAUAAAAGGAAGCUCAGCCUUCUUCAGUAACAACAAGGACAUUCAGCCCACCAGUGGUGUCUUCAGGAAAGAAAGCCUGUGAAGAAGCAGCCCCAGCCACAUCACCAGCUUCCAAAGAGGCUGCAGAAACACGCACCUUGGAAAGGCCAGGACUGCAGUCAUGUCACCAUCUGGAACAUCAAGGUGGAAACCUCCUGAACCCUAGGCACUCAGACCAGCAGAAUCUUGGCAAUAAAGGACCUUUGUGUACUGGAACAGCAAAUGUGGUCUCAACACAGUUACAAAUAAAGACAACAAAAUAGAUUUUUGGGAGGACUAAGGAGCGGAAGAGAGAACUGUUAAAUCAAUACUCUGAAGAACAUCUCAUUUACUUGACAGAAAAGUCCAACAGUGGUGCCUUCAGGAAAGAAAGCCUGUGAUGAAGCAGCUCCAACAACAUCACCAGCUGCCAAGGAGGCUUGAGAAACU